UUUUAACAACUUAUUUCUUCCCAAGGCAUUUACUCUUUAAGCCACUUUAGUUCUUUGCUUUUCUCAACUCCUAAAACCCUUUAAGCUAAGUUGUUUCUUUUCUCCCUUCUUUCCACCUUUCUAUUGUGUGUGUCAGCUUUUUUCAAUUGGAGCAAUUGUGAUCUGUCUUGCUUCUCUCACUCUCUUCUUCACCCAUUGUUGUAUUUAGCAAAACAAGGACCCAGUAGCCAGCUGGACAAACCUUCCUCCUAAAAGGGACAGGAAUGAUUAUAAUGAUUUAUUUUGUAUUCUUCCCAACCGGAUUUGAAACCAGUUCACUUGCCUGUGUGUUCUCAAAUAUGUCAUAUUUUUACCAAAUAUAUUGGUACUCGUCUUUUCCUUCUAUCCUGGAAGUGAGUCCAGAAUUGCCUACAUGUGUGAAUAGUAUAAGAUCAAGGUAAUGUUAUUUCAAUCUCCGUAAGAAAAGUAAUUUUAAGAAAUUUCAGAAAACCAUUUAAACCAUAAGUAAAUAUGACAAGUGAGAAAAAUAUCUCCCUUGGGGACAAUUAUGUGCUAAUCUACAAAGUACCUUCUAACCUAUUUUAUAGGUUCUGUAGCUCUAGAUGUCCUCCCUCCCCAAUAGCCCAUUUUCUGCUCAUGUUGGCAUUCAAUGAAAUACAUUCACUUGAUGGGAUUCCAGAAUUAUUCAUUUUAAUAAUACCAAAAUAACUUAAAACGCUAGAAUAAUGAGAGACUGUCUACUCCCCAAAACAGGAGAGUUUAUUUAUACCCUUUUUAAAUCUUAAAUUUAAAAGAUGUUUGCAUAACAGAUCAAACACUGAACACCAGUUAGCAUCAGAAACAAGAAUUUAAGUCAUCAUGUUAACAAUAAAAACUCCCAUAGUAUAUUAAGAUUUAAUAAUUUGAAAUGUCUACAGUUUUUAUAGGAGGAAAACUUCCAAAUACCUAGACAUAAUAAAUCUUAGGCGUUAUAUAAUGCCUGAUUAUCAGUUAUAAUUAUCUCAUCAGUAUUCACUAUCUCAGUUUAUAAUGUAUAAUGCUUAAAAUUCAUAAAACUAUACUAAAAACAUUAACAAAUUGCUCUCUAGUAAUUCAAAUAUUUGUUACUAUCCAAAUUUAUGAUUAUAUAUAAAAAAUUAACUCUUCAUGAAACAGUGUUCUGACUCUGAAGUAAACUUUUUUUGUUUUUAGGAUAAAAUGCAUGUAGUAAACUGUCACAAUACAUUAUUAACAUGUAAUUAACAGUAAUUAAUUCAAACAAAUCUUAUAGUCACAUUAGUAUUUUCCAAUAAUCCUGCCUUCCUGCCACUACUAAUUACCUUGUAGACAUCAACAAGAUGUUUAGAAUACAUACCUCUUGAGCAAGAUCUUGUGCGUUGGAGAUAAGAGGAAAUGGAGGACUGGCCUUGUUCAUGUGUACUGUGAUGGCAUUGUGUAUCUUAAAUGCAUUCUGGAAAUCCUUAUUUUGAACAAGUUGUAAAAGCAGUGAAAUAUCCUCCUGGCUCUGAGAAUCUACCAAAGUAUGUUGGAUAUGUUUAAGUGAAGAAAACAAGUCUUCUAUUUCUAGUAGAAGAAGAAAAGGGAAUUUAAAAAAUCCAUUCAGAUGUAACUAAAUCAGUCCUGUCAAAUACACUCUUCCAUAAUAAAAGAUGAAGACACAGAGACAACAAAGAGAAGACAGAGGACAGAGAGAAGAAAUUCCCUUCCCCAAUCCCAUACAGACAGACAACAGACACAAGAAGGAACCACAUGGACAGAGAAAGAGAGAAAUGAAGAACCACAAGGCUAGUGAGAAAGACUGAUAUAUGUGCUAGGUUGGGAGUGGACAAAAAAACGAAUGGAAAAACAAGAUGUGGUAUAUUUGUACAGUGGAAUAUUAAUUCAUCCAUAAAAAAGAAAUGAAGUACUGAUUCAUGCUACAAUAUGGAUGAACCCUGAAAACAUAAUGCUACCGCAUACAUUUCUGAAUGUGCCGUAAGACAACGAAGCAAAUCUUCGCAGGCAGAAAUAAGUUUUAAAACCUACUACUGCUUAAUAAGUGGAAUGAAGUUUCAACGUAUUGUGUCAAAGACUGAAUGAUGUAGCAGUUACUUUUCUAUAGAAUUAUGUGUAUUUAAUAAACAAAAUUUACAUUACUA
ensembl:lncRNA novel transcript, antisense to MPP5